rnacentral:rRNA from 1 species
UCCGGUUGAUCCUGCCGGACCCCACUGCUAUCGGGAUAGGACUAAGACAUGCUAGUCGAGCGCCUCCCUGCCACGACGGAGGCGCGGCGCACAGCUCAGUAACACGUGGCUAACCUGCCCUUGGGACAGAGACACCCCCGGGAAACUGGGGCUAAUCCCUGAUAGGUGAAGAACUCUGGAAUGAGUCUUCACCCAAAAGACGCCUAGGUCACGCUUCUAGGCGCCGCCCAAGGAUGGGGCCGCGACCGAUCAGGUUGUUGGUGAGGUAACGGCCUACCAAGCCUUUUACCGGUACGGGCCGUGAGAGCGGGAGCCCGGAGAUGGGCACUGAGACAAGGGCCCAGGUCCUACUGGGCGCAGCAGUCGCGCAAACUUUGCAAUACACGAAAGUGUGACAGGGCUAUCCCGAGUGCCGCCCGCUGAGGGUGGCUUUUACCCAGUCUAGAAAGCUGGGAGAAUAAGGAGAGGGCAAGUCUGGUGUCAGCCGCCGCGGUAAUACCAGCUCUCCGAGUGGUGUGGAUGUUUAUUGGGCCUAAAGCAUCCGUAGCUUGCUGAUCAAGUCCCCUGUUAAACCCAACGAAUCAAUCGUUGGAUUGCGGGGG